AGAGUUUGAUCCUGGCUCAGGACGAACGCUGGCGGCGUGCCUAACACAUGCAAGUCGAGCGAUGAAGCCCUUCGGGGUGGAUUAGCGGCGGACGGGUGAGUAACACGUGGGUAACCUGCCUCAAAGAGGGGGAUAGCCUCCCGAAAGGGAGAUUAAUACCGCAUAACAUUAGUAUUUCGCAUGAAGAACUAAUUAAAGGAGUAAUCCGCUUUGAGAUGGACCCGCGGCGCAUUAGCUAGUUGGUGAGGUAAAGGCUCACCAAGGCGACGAUGCGUAGCCGACCUGAGAGGGUGAUCGGCCACAUUGGAACUGAGACACGGUCCAGACUCCUACGGGAGGCAGCAGUGGGGAAUAUUGCACAAUGGGCGAAAGCCUGAUGCAGCAACGCCGCGUGAGUGAUGAAGGCCUUCGGGUUGUAAAGCUCUGUCUUUGGGGACGAUAAUGACGGUACCCAAGGAGGAAGCCACGGCUAACUACGUGCCAGCAGCCGCGGUAAUACGUAGGUGGCGAGCGUUGUCCGGAUUUACUGGGCGUAAAGGAUGCGUAGGUGGAUGUUUAAGUCAGAUGUGAAAUACCCGAGCUUAACUUGGGUGCUGCAUUUGAAACUGGAUAUCUAGAGUGCAGGAGAGGUAAGUGGAAUUCCUAGUGUAGCGGUGAAAUGCGUAGAGAUUAGGAAGAACACCAGUGGCGAAGGCGACUACUGGACUGUAACUGACACUGAGGCAUGAAAGCGUGGGUAGCAAACAGGAUUAGAUACCCUGGUAGUCCACGCCGUAAACGAUGAGUACUAGGUGUAGGGGGGUCCAACCUUCUGUGCCGCAGUUAACACAAUAAGUACUCCGCCUGGGAAGUACGGUCGCAAGAUUAAAACUCAAAGGAAUUGAUGG
rnacentral:rRNA from 1 species